rnacentral:rRNA from 1 species
AUUGAACGCUGGCGGCAGGCCUAACACAUGCAAGUCGAGCGGAUGAGUGGAGCUUGCUCCAUGAUUCAGCGGCGGACGGGUGAGUAAUGCCUAGGAAUCUGCCUGGUAGUGGGGGACAACGUUUCGAAAGGAACGCUAAUACCGCAUACGUCCUACGGGAGAAAGCAGGGGACCUUCGGGCCUUGCGCUAUCAGAUGAGCCUAGGUCGGAUUAGCUAGUUGGCGGGGUAAGGGCUCACCAAGGCGACGAUCCGUAACUGGUCUGAGAGGAUGACCAGUCACACUGGAACUGAGACACGGUCCAGACUCCUACGGGAGGCAGCAGUGGGGAAUAUUGGACAAUGGGCGAAAGCCUGAUCCAGCCAUGCCGCGUGUGUGAAGAAGGUCUUCGGAUUGUAAAGCACUUUAAGUUGGGAGGAAGGGCAGUAAGUUAAUACCUUGCUGUUUUGACGUUACCGACAGAAUAAGCACCGGCUAACUUCGUGCCAGCAGCCGCCGUAAGAC